GUUAGGGAUCUUCCGCAAUGGGCGAAAGCCUGACGGAGCGACGCUGCGUGGACGAUGAAGGCCUUCGGGUCGUAAAGUCCUUUUCUCAGGGACGAUAAUGACGGUACCUGAGGAAUAAGCAACGGCUAACUACGUGCCAGCAGCCGCGGUAAUACGUAGGUUGCGAGCGUUAUCCGGAAUCACUGGGCGUAGAGAGUUCGUAGGCGUUUUAGUGGGUCACCGAUUAAAGACCGAGGCUUAACUUCGGGAAUGUUGGUGAAACUACUAGAAUAGAGUACAUUAGAGGUAAAUGGAAUUCCUGGUGUAGCAGUGAAAUGCGUUGAUAUCAGGAGGAACGCCAAUGGCGAAGGCAGUUUACUGGGAUGUAACUGACGCUGAGGAACGAAAGCGUGGGUAGCAAACGGGAUUAGAAACCCUUGUAGUCC
rnacentral:rRNA from 1 species